rnacentral:rRNA from 1 species
UACGGAGGGUGCGAGCGUUGUCCGGAAUCAUUGGGCGUAAAGGGCGCGUAGGUGGCGGGACAAGCGUGCGGUGAAAGCUCGGGGCUCAACUGGGAGCUUGCAGGCGAAACUGCCGUGCUGGAGUGUGGGAGAGGUGCGUGGAAUUCCUGGUGUAGCGGUGAAAUGCGUAGAGAUCGGAAAGAACACCAACGGCGAAAGCACUCUGCUGGGCCGACACUGACACUGAGAGACGAAAGCUAGGGGAGCGAAUGGG